GUCCACGCCGUAAACGAUGGAUACUAGCUGUUGGAAGCAAUUUCAGUGGCUAAGCGAAAGUGAUAAGUAUCCCACCUGGGAGUACGUUCGCAAGAAUGAAACUCAAAGGAAUUGACGGGGCCCGCACAAGCGGUGGAGCAUGUGGUUUAAUUCGAUGAUACGCGAGGAACCUUACCAAGGCUUAAAUGUAGAUUGACCGUUUUGGAAACAGAACUUUCGCAAGACAAUUUACAAGGUGCUGCAUGGUUGUCGU
rnacentral:rRNA from 1 species